AGCGGAUGACCUGUGGCUGGGGGUGAAAGGCCAAUCAAACCGGGAGAUAGCUGGUUCUCCCCGAAAGCUAUUUAGGUAGCGCCUCGUGAAUUCAUCUCCGGGGGUAGAGCACUGUUUCGGCUAGGGGGCCAUCCCGGCUUACCAACCCGAUGCAAACUGCGAAUACCGGAGAAUGUUAUCACGGGAGACACACGGCGGGUGCUAACGUCCGUCGUGAAGAGGGAAACAACCCAGACCGCCAGCUAAGGUCCCAAAGUCAUGGUUAAGUGGGAAACGAUGUGGGAAGGCCCAGACAGCCAGGAUGUUGGCUUAGAAGCAGCCAUCAUUUAAAGAAAGCGUAAUAGCUCACUGGUCGAGUCGGCCUGCGCGGAAGAUGUAACGGGGCUAAACCAUG
rnacentral:rRNA from 1 species